rnacentral:rRNA from 1 species
GACGAACGCUGGCGGCGUGCCUAAUACAUGCAAGUUGAGCGAUGAAGAUUGGUGCUUGCCCCAAUUUGAAGAGCAGCGAACGGGUGAGUAACGCGUGGGGAAUCUGCCUUUGAGCGGGGGACAACAUUUGGAAACGAAUGCUAAUACCGCAUAACAACUUUAAACAUAAGUUUUAAGUUUGAAAGAUGCAAUUGCAUCACUCAAAGAUGAUCCCGCGUUGUAUUAGCUAGUUGGUGAGGUAAAGGCUCACCAAGGCGAUGAUACAUAGCCGACCUGAGAGGGUGGUCGGCCACAUUGGGACUGAGACACGGCCCAAACUCCUACGGGAGGCAGCAGUAGGGAAUCUUCGGCAACGGACGAAAGUCUGACCGAGCAACGCCGCGUGAGUGAAGAAGGUUUUCGGAUCGUAAAACUCUGUUGGUAGAGAAGAACGUUGGUGAGAGUGGAAAGCUCAUCAAGUGACGGUAACUACCCAGAAAGGGACGGCUAACUACGUG